GAGGGCAUAGCUCAGGGGUAGAGUGUGUGUUUCACAUGCACAAGGUCCUGGGUUCAAUCCCCAGUACUUCCG